CAAGAAAACCGCAGAGCCAGGUGCACGGUGCCAGGCACCUUGAGAAUUACGCGGGAUUGCAUGCGCAUGUGCGCGCAGCCCCAAGCGGGGGUCCCGGGGUGGCAGGGACUUCUGCUUUGCUUUAUGCAUUUCUGUAUUGGGAUUUUUAGCAGUCGUUAGAUAUUACUGUUAUAAAAAGAACUGCAAGCCCAAUUAAGAUAUUAUGAACAAACAUGAAAAUAAGAGGAAGGAAGGAGGGAGAGUCCUAAAGGAUGUUUAUUUAGAAAAGAAAAAUCAGCUUGACAAAAGAUACUUCCACAUUUGCAUAGCCACGCAGACUUUAAUGACAGCAGACGGCAGAGCUUUUUAAAAUGACUCAUAGAUGCUGCGUACACAGGUGGCCAAGGCUGCCUGUGCCCAGUAAUGACCAACACACAUAAAAGCCUGCAGACGGCGGGGUGGGCCGGUCGUGGAGCCCAGAGGCUGCAGGACUCCAAUGUCAGUUGAGAACCUGCCAUCUUCAGCCACCUGGUAAAUCUGAAAUUGCUGUAAGCAACUGAUGUGGGACUUAAAAGUAAUUUUUGGUUCCCUGAAUGUUUCUUGGAUGCACUUGCCCGCAAGCCUCAAGUACCUGGAAGCUAGCAUAUAAGCUACCACAGUGCGCUCAUUCCACACGAUGGUGGCUUUGGGAACUAGACUCAAAAUACAAGUGCAGCAAAGUUCCCGUGGAAAUGCUGCUGCCUCUGCCGCCGCCCGUUUCAGUUGCAUCCACCCCCCCCCCCCCCCCCCCCGCCUGCAGUGAACUUCCGACCACACACGAUGCCGAUUCCUCACUUUUUUCUAGAUCUGACCCAUUCCUUACCAGGCAGGAGUGGAUGCCAAAAACAACCUAGAGAAAUAUGAAAAGGUUGUUUGUAACCAGGGUGUCCCUCUCGCUUGAUUUAUUUGGAAGCUUGACAGAUAAGCAGCAUCCAGCAGUGCCCCGGGCCGGGCCGGGCCUGCUAUGCUCAGAAGCUGAGGCGGGACCCUCACACGGAUGCUGCGAGGCAGGACGCGGGGGGCCCUUUCUGGGAUCUCGGGUUCUUAGGCCACAGCUUGGUCUUCACGGUCACUAUUCAGACUAUCCCACUGAGGCCCAGAUAGCAACAAAACAGCGGAAUGAGACACAGGCCUGUUUUCCUCAGAGCCCUGGUUUUCAUCUUGGAAUUACAUAAUUGUGCAAAACUUGGACUGGCCCGUGUCCCGGGAGACCUCAAGCUUGUUUCUGUCCCGGACUAAGAUGGCCUCGUUUCCAUACUGUGAGUACCACAUGCUUCGGCUCCUGCUCAGAUAUGUCCCGGGUGGCACGGAUUCCAGCUUCUGCUGCUGCUGCUGCCAGAUGAGCAGGGAGGUGUCCCUGUACCGGAGCCGGGCAUGGCCUUCAGACAGGGCUUUCUCUGCCAGCGGGACGCGGCCACUCAUCCCUGGCCGCAACCUGCGCUCUUCUGGGCUCCUGCCCUCGCAGCCUCUCUGAGCCGGUCCUGCCGUGUGGACUGCUGCCCACUGCUUUGCACUAAAUUCACUGCUGGACAAGUUUCUCCACCGCUGGGUGUGAGGAGUCCCUGUGUAACUUGAAGGCAGAAAUGAGGAAUUCAGGCCAUUUGCAGGCAACAGCCUUAGGAGAGUUGUAUUGCAAGGAGACUUGAGAGGAGUAUCCUGAAAAGACACCUAAGAACCACAUGGAGACAGCAGGUCAGAGUGGCGCCCUGGCUGCAGUGUUCCCAGGUAACAGCUGUGUGCACUUUACUAGGUGUGGAGUUUGCAGAGAUGGGGCGCCCACCUCGGCGGGCCCUUGUCAGGUGUCUGCCUCGAUGCUGACACCACAGCUUGGACUGCUUAGCUUCAAAAGAUGUGUCCAGUGUCCUGAGUGAAAGGACAUUGUACAAGGAGACAGCAGCUCCUAGCUGCCCCAAGCUGUGUGCGUGGGUCAGCUUUCAGCACAGCAUGGGGGCUCUUCUGACACACGUCGGGUUUGGAACCAGCACUGUUCAGUUCUCUUUUUGUGGCUUGUCUUCAACUCUUCCCCAAGCUGGUGC
rnacentral:lncRNA from 1 species